rnacentral:misc_RNA from 1 species
UCCUGCUUAACGCAGGCAGUUCCCUUAGAGUGCCCAACUUAAUGCUGGCAACUAAGGAUAAGGGUUGCGCUCGUUGCGGGACUUAACCCAAUAUUUCACAACACGAGCUGACGACAGCCAUGCAGCACCUGUCACUAAGUCGCUAUCUUUCGAUAGCAAAAGCCUACAUCUCUGCAGGUUUUCUUAGGAUGUCAAACCCAGGUAAGGUUUUGCGCGUUGCUUCGAAUUAAACCACAUAAUCCACCGCUUGUGCGGGUCCCCGUCAAUUUCUUUGAGUUUUAAUCUUGCGACCGUACUUCCCAGGCGGAUAACUUAUCGCGUUAGCUUCGACACUGAAAAAUUCAACUUCUCCAACGUCUAGUUAUCAUCGUUUAGGGCAUGGACUAC